AUUGAACGCUGGCGGCAGGCCUAACACAUGCAAGUCGAGCGAGCGGCGGACGGGUGAGUAAUGUCUGGGAAACUGCCUGAUGGAGGGGGAUAACUACUGGAAACGGUAGCUAAUACCGCAUACCAUCAGAUGUGCCCAGAUGGGAUUAGCUAGUAGGUGGGGUAAUGGCUCACCUAGGCGUCGCACCCUAGCUGGUCUGAGAGGAUGACCAGACACACCGGAACUGAGACACGGUACAGACUCCUACGGGAGGCAGCAGUGGGGAAUAUUGCACAAUGGGAGCAAGCCGGAUGCAGGCAUGCCGCGUGUGUGAAGAAGGCCUUCGGGUUGUAAAGCACUUUCAGCGGGGAGGCGUUACCCGCAGAAGAAGCACCGGCUAACUCCGUGCCAGCAGCCGCGGGAAUAC
rnacentral:rRNA from 1 species